GGGGGUCCUUGAGGAAGGACAGUCCAGGAUGGGAAAAAGCAGAAACUAAAUUCACCGCGAUCUCAGGCUUACCUGCGUGUGUGUCCUGUGUCGCCUCCAUAUAUGCACGUGUGUGUUCCAGUGUGUCGUGUGUGCCAUUAAAAACCUGUUAAAAAAAAAAAAAAAUAAAAAAAAAAGACAUAGCAUUCAAAUGGUGUAGCAUUUCUUUAAUUUAUCUAUCCAAGAACUGAAAAGGGGGAUUGCCUGGCAAAUAAGUGCUAGAAACUGACUUUAAUUAGACUGACGUUAAGAAAAAUAAAAAUGCUAAUUAUGAUGUUAUAAUGAUGCCAGUGUUCUCAUCAUUUUUGUGUUAUUUCUGUGUGCAGAUAGGUUUUUGGCAUACGGUUCAGCUUUGAAACACAAGGUUCUCCUAGGAAGCAAAACAAGCUGGUCUUGCAAGGGUUUAAGUCUAAGCUUCAAAGGUCUAGCUCUGUGUGUGUGUGUAUGCGAGGGAGAGAGAGUGUGUGUGUGUGUGUGUGUGUGUGUGUGUGUGUGUGUGUGUAUGUGGGUGUGCAUCACGCUCUCAGGUCAGGAUCAGGGACCUCUACACCUUUAGCGGAUUAGUUCAUACUCGUGCAGUGAGCCAGUCAGUUUCACACCUUAGCACCUUCUUAUUUUCUCUCACUAUUUGUUUUUAUUACUGCAUUGUGUGCUUGAGUAUUUUCCUUCAUCCACCUCCAUGCCGGCACCACCUGUCUAGAUAAUUUCAUGAUGACAGCAGUGCAGUAUAGUAGAUCUAGUUUGCCCAGACUAAAAGACUACAGGUUUGUAACUGUUAGCAUAUCUGUUUAAUACAUUCGGAAAGUAGCACUGACUGAAAUCGAAUCAACCAGCCACAGUCAAUUGAUUAGUUGUCUCGGAUGUUCCGAUGUGCUGCUAUUUGGUUGGAUUGAAAGUCAAAGCCAUGGCAUUUCUGUGCAGAGGAGAUUGCCCUGCCCAAAGAUGGCCCUGCAGGGUCUAUUUAUUUAACCACCAUGUUCUGUCAGUACUUUCAUUCAUCUCCCACACACCCCUGUUUUAGUGUCACAACCAGUCCCGUUUCAGUGUCAGUACCAGUUCUGUUUCAAUGUCAGUACCAGAUCUGUCCCAGUGUCAGUACCAGAUCUGUUCCAGUGUCAGUACCCAUCCCGUUCCAGUGUCAGUACCAGAUCUGUUCCAGUGUCAGUACCAGAUCUGUUCCAGGGUCAGUACCAGUUCUGUUCCAGUGUCAGUACCAGAUCUGUUUCAGUGUCAGUACCAGUCCCGUUUCAGUGUCAAUGCCAGAUCUGAUCCAGGGUCAUGACCAGAUUUGUGUCAGGGUCACCUCCGACCCACAGCUCUAAUCAGUGUAACCUCACACUGUGUGCUUGGCCCCAGGCGCUAAGCUAAGCCCUCCCAUAGCAAAGGGGCUAAGGAGGGGGUAUUAGCCACAGGCUAAUGGCGGGGAGUGUUCACAGUGUGAUAUUCUCUACUGGUUUAGUGCGGUGUUUUAGGUAUUAUUAGGCCAUGAUCUGGUGCGAGUUAGCACAGAUUUUUGGGGCUAAACUCAUUAGUAAGCAAAAACAUGGUGCCUGUCUGUCAACACUGGAGUGUAAAUCACGCUGGAGAUGUUACUGACCAGCCAAAGCGUAGCCCACACGUGGUGUGUUUGUCACACAUGGUGCCAAACUAGCCAAGCUUACAGUCAUUUUGGUAUAACUAACUGCUAAAAUCACCAACUUGUCUUAAGAACAAUGAUAAUCAGAAGAGUGGCCUUUAUUAUGACUUGUUACAAUGCACCGAUAUAUUCACAUGUUUUUGUCAUGGGGAAGAAUGUCACGAACUUCAUGUAAACAUUGCUGU
ensembl:lncRNA